CCUACGGGAGGCAGCAGUGAGGAAUAUUGGUCAAUGGACGCAAGCCUGAACCAGCCAUGUCGCGUGCAGGAAGACGGCCCUAUGAGUUGUAAACUGCUUUUGUACGAGGGUAAAUCCCGAUACGUGUAGCGGGUUGAAAGUACCGUACGAAUAAGGAUCGGCUAACUCCGUGCCAGCAGCCGCGGUAAUACGGAGGAUUCAAGCGUUAUCCGGAUUUAUUGGGUUUAAAGGGUUCGUAGGCGGGUAGGUAAGUUAGGGGUGAAAUCCCGGGGCUCAACCCCCGCACUGCCUUUGAUACUGUCGGGCUAGAGUAUAGUCGAGGUAGGCGGAAUGUGUGGUGUAGCGGUGAAAUGCAUAGAGAUCAUACAGAACACCGAUUGCGAAGGCAGCUUACCAAACUGCGACUGACGUUGAGGCACGAAAGCGUGGGUAGCGAACAGGAUUAGAUACCCUUGUAGUC
rnacentral:rRNA from 1 species